GUUAAAACACCAGUUUCCGUGUGAUCAAUGAAGUUAAGCAACGUCUAUCCUGGUCAGUACCUAGAUGGGUGACCUCUUGGGAAUACCAUCUGCUGUAA